rnacentral:rRNA from 1 species
GACGAACGCUGGCGGCGUGCUUAACACGUGCAAGUCGAACGGAAAGGUCCUGCUUUUGCGGGGUGCUCGAGUGGCGAACGGGUGAGUAACACGUGAGUAACCUGUCCUUGACUUUGGGAUAACUUCAGGAAACUGGGGCUAAUACCGGAUAGGAGCUCCUGCUGCAUGGUGGGGGUUGGAAAGUUUCGGCGGUUGGGGAUGGACUCGCGGCUUAUCAGCUUGUUGGUGGGGUAGUGGCUUACCAAGGCUUUGACGGGUAGCCGGCCUGAGAGGGUGACCGGCCACAAUAGGACUGAGAGACGGCCCAGUAUGCUACGGGAGGCAGCAGUGGGGAGUAUUGCACAGUGGGCGGAAGCCUGAUGCGACAGCGCCGCGUGCGGGAUGACGGCCUUCGAGUUAUAAACCGCUGUCGCCUGUGACGAAGCGUGAGUGACGGUAAUGGGUAAGGAAGCACCGGCUAACUACGUG